rnacentral:lncRNA from 1 species
GAUUAGUGCCACCAUUAAAAUUUUAGUAAGUGCAGGGGUGAGUCAAUCAUAUUUUGACUUUUUUUUUUUUAACCAGUCAGCCUCCAGAAAAAUGCAGAUGACUCCUGAAGAACUCUGGACUAUCACAGGCACAAUCAUGCAGUAAGCGAUCAUCACAGCUAUGGUGCCAGAUAUUUCACAUAUUAUUCAGCAAUUUAUUGAGGAGUACUCUCUUCUCCAUUACAAUCAAUCAAGAGGAUCAUUUCACAAGACAGCCAUUCAUUCUAUUGUGUGGCCUUCUGAACUUUAUUCAAGAGGAAACCUGCUAGAAGGGAAAUUAGCUGACAGUCUCCAGGUGCUUUCAGGAUCUGCCUCAGCAUUUGUGCCAUGGCACACAACAGAAUUUCUGUACCCCAUCCAAUGCCUGAGCAUCAUGAUGAUAUAAGAAUUCAACAUUUCAGACCACAUGGAACUGUUUGAAAAACAUCUUGGCAUUGAAAUUUCCUGUUGGACUAGCCAGGAUUUUCUCUAGGCUAUCCCACUGUCUAUGGGUCUUCCUAGUCAGCCUUCUUUCUUUCAUCCCAAUGAAUCUCAAUAAAUCUGUUGUACUUAAUACA